rnacentral:sRNA from 1 species
AGAUAAAGUAUUGUUUCCUUGUUAGAAGAUACAAAGCCAAAGACUCAUACAAACUUCGACUACACCAUCAAAGCUUUGAGAAGCAAUAAGAAGCUUGGUUAGUGUUUUGGAUUCAAAUAUGACU